CCCGGCACUUUAUAGAGAGCAAUGGAAGUGACUUGUCCAAGGUCACUCAGCCCAUUUGUGGCAGUCCUAGAACCACGUCCCCUGGCUCCUAGGACUCUGUUCUUUCCUCUGUACCACCUUGCUGUCCGGCGUUCUUCCUCCCUACUGCACACAGGACCUCACCACUGGAAAGACUUUAUCAUAAAGCACCAUCAAGAUCUAAGAGCCUCCAGAACAUCUCGGAUUAAAAGGAGACCAUUGAACGUUUCCUGACAAAGUCCACACUCCGAAGAAGUCGUCCUGACACAGGACUUGACAGUACAAAGUAAACAGUAGGUGAAACCCAAGGAAAAUGAGGAUGCCGCUCUGUCCUUUGGGAAGUCACCUCCUGUCUUCCACCCAUACCAUACAGGACAUCUGCCAAGGAGAGCGCACACUCCCGUCCUUGCAGCAUGCUAGAAUUAAUUGAGUAGUCCCAGGCCAGGUCUCCAGGGUUUGGGCUCUCCGGCUCCUUACAGAACGAAAGCCCACUGCCACCGGCUCUGCCAGCCUGUCCCCAGACGCCAGCCUUCUCUGCCUGCCGGCCAGCCUAAUAAGGCAAUGUGCACGUUGACUGGCUGGCUUAUAGGUCACCACUGUUUACUGUGCAAACUCUGGGCUGGAUAGCAAUGCAAGAGCCUACCUUUUGGCAGACAAAGGGUUACCCUUUGCCAAAAACUCUUAAAAGGCUGCACUGUUGGUCCAUUUACAUAAUAACAGAAACUUGUCUGCGGAGCCUGCCAGGCUCUAGACACAGGGCCAGCUUGCAGGGUUAAGGGAACAGCAGCUUCAGCUGGGGCCUGGAGUGAGCUAGGCCUGCAAGGGAGACUGCUUUACCUCCGCCUCCCCCGCCCCCUCCCCAGCCCCAUCAGACAACCCACACAGUCAAUCUUUGGGGAAACUUAUUAAGCCUGCAUCCCGGCUCUCUGAGGCUCCCUGACUUCAAAAACAGCAGCCGACCGUCUCCAAACAGACUAGUUUGAACACUACCAGCAUUUCAAGUUUCAACAGUGGGCUGGCGAUGCUGACCUGGAGCGAGAAGAGGAAGGAUCAGAGAGCGAGAAACAGCCAACCUUGAGGAGCUCCUGCGGCUGUUCCAUUGCUAAGCAGCACCAGAGACUAGGCCAGGAAAAGAAAUGGAGACAACGCAGCUACGGGCUACCAACUCUUGCCAGCAAGCUCUGUCCACCAUUCUCCGAAGAUGAGGGGGCCGCUGCAGAAGGGAACGUGUGAUGUUAUAGGGUGACCCAGAUCCGUCUCAUAGUUCCUAUUGGGCCAAACCUCAGGAUAUUAGGAAUUUCAAACUGAAGACAGUACAAAAAUAAAUUAAUUUCUCAAAUAAUCAGCGAUGACUAUGGAGCUAAUCUUAAGUUUAUUCUAAUUAAAUUUAAUGUUGUAAAAAAAUCCCUCUCUUCCAGUCCCUGUGACCCUCUCCUUAACAAUAAAGAUAUUACCGGACUUACCCUCCCAGUGGCAUUUCUAUCUUAAGCUAGGUUGUUCAACAGGUUUCCAGCACAAGAGAUCUAUUCACAGACUUGAUAAUAUUAAACCAGCAAUGGACACUCAGUUUUGAAGGUAUGUAUUAGUCAACAUCCAUUUAGCAGAACUAAACCACUGCAUUUCCCCCUGAAAUUAAAACUGUGCCAAUUACAUAGGCAGAAUGAUGGAUCUGCAUCAGACGUUUUCUUGUCCGGAAGAGGAAAGAAUGUCCUUUUUUUAAGACGUACAUUACAUCUUUUUGGCUAUUAGACCACAUAUGCUAUUUGAUUGAGUGGAAUAAAGUGAUUUUAAAAUGAUUAAGGCUUAAAUCUUCAUUUGAUACCUAUUUAUAUAAUACUUUAUUUUUUAAGCACAUUAUCAGGCUAUUUUUGUGAAUACAUUUUUAACCUGGACACGUGCUUACCCUGUGUUAAGCUCAGAAUAUGCUGAUAGAGCUUUAAACCUUCUCCUGCAGUACUGGUUGAACUUAGUCACAGUUAUCCAUAUCUAAGAGGACUAGCUCCAGGACUAACUUUUCUUUAAAACAAUUCAUUAAAAACUUGAUUCCUUAGCUGCACUACGUCGCCCCCUAGUGGCAGAAAGGAAUGGUGCACUUUCCAAAAGCCGGCCGUCCCAACACUUCUCUUAAUGGAAAGCCUGAAGUCUGGACAGCUUUGUUUACAGCAGAUUUAACAUCUCGGAGAUACGGAAGAACUUAAAUGUUAGCAAUUAUUUCAUUUACUCAACAAAUGUGCACUGAAUAUCGUAUCGGCCAAGCCUUGUUCUGGGGCUGGGGUGACAGUGAGAGUGAGGAGACAGAAAAUUCCGUUCUAGGAAUAAACAACUAACACAAAGGCAUAAUGGAAGGCCCAACAUGCCCAGGUGCCUUUUAUUUUAAUGUACCUGAAAAAUAUGUGAUGAGUCAAACAUCAAAUUCUCUGGAAAUGCUAGUGACUUUGUAUUGCUGGUCUCCGUCUCCAACCCCCCGUCUGUCAUCUCGCCCUCCUUUCACCUGCCCCUUCCCCCAGGCAGGCCAGAGCCUCCACCCCGUGCCCUCAAUAAGCACCUGUUGAAUAUAAUGACUGUGGGCUGUAGGUUCCUGUGGAAUCCAAACUAACGAGGCUUUAUGAUCAGCUAAAUAAAAGGUCUUUGCUGUUUUCAGUUGUCCAUGUUAUAAACUAAAAUAUUGAUGGCUACAAAAGCGAGGCAGCCUCACAAAAAAGUAAUAGGUAUAUAUAUAUAUAUCUCCAUAUAAAUUAAUGUAAUAAUGUACCACAAUAAUAUAUUUUGAAUAUAACCAUUACAAUGCUGUGGACACUUUAUUCAGAAUCUCACAUCCAAUGAAACAAUAAUUAUAAAUUCCAAAGCUGCAGAACACUAUUUUUCACUCCUCAUAUCCCCCAUCUGUUUUGAAACUGGCAUUGUCAGAACUAAUAAAGUUCCCAAUGUGAGCUCUUACAGGAUGUUAGGUGCUGCAGGAUACACCGGGGCAGCAGACAGCACUCACGCCAACCGGGGACACUGGCCUUGGCUGCGAGAAGCUCCACUGAGAAGGGGUCUCACCCACCCCGACGUGUGGAAAGCCACAGCUCUGGGCUCGGAGAGGGGAAGGGCAGAGGGUCUGGCCUGCACGACCCCCCUCUGCUCCUCUAUACCGGCUCUAGGAGCUGCUCCGUCCCUUCUUGGAAGCAAUGCUAACGUGUUUGUGUCAAAUACACAUACUCUAUUUUUCAACAUAUUACAUAUCUUCAAAUAAGAGAACAAAGCCACUUGAAUAUUUCACCAGACAAGGAGUAGAGUCUAGAGCAUAAACUCUGACAAAAGCUGAACACAUGUACAUUUCCCUCCCUGUUUAAAAUUGUAUCUAAACCGCCCAGGUUCCGUUCACAGUUUCUGGCUGCUGAGAUUAUUCCAGUUAAUGGUGGGGUCGCCCUGAUAGAGAUUUAAAUGUCAGGGGGUCCCCAGUUACAGGAUCUCUGAUAGUUAUGCAGGAAAGGGAAGGGGUUUUGCAAGACCUAAUGUGAUCCAAAUUAGGACACAUAAAGGACCAGUGUUAAAAAAUGCAUAGUGAGCUUCGCUAGGUAAAGUGUCAUCUUGCAAGAGAAAGCCUGGUUUAUUUUCAAGCAAAAUCUGUGUGACUAUUACACUGUAAGUCUAAACAAAUUCCGGUGAUUUAUCUAAAUCUUUCUUUUAUGGCCAAGGCCUAGAUUACACUUCAUUCUACUCACUUCUUUUUAGGGCUAGAAAAGGGGUGGUGGAAAUACGUUGAAUUUCAACUCAGUGUCCAAAUUGGAAAAAAAAAAAAAUCUCCAAAGUUCUCAAUUACUGA